UGGCUCAGUUGGUAGAGCAUGACGCUUGCAACAGCCAGGGUUGUGGGUUCGAUUCCCAC
rnacentral:tRNA from 1 species